CCUACGGGAGGCAGCAGUGAGGAAUAUUGGUCAAUGGACGAGAGUCUGAACCAGCCAAGUAGCGUGAAGGAUGACUGCCCUAUGGGUUGUAAACUUCUUUUAUAUGGGAAUAAAAUGUUCCACGUGUGGGUUUUUGUAUGUACCAUAUGAAUAAGGAUCGGCUAACUCCGUGCCAGCAGCCGCGGUAAUACGGAGGAUCCGAGCGUUAUCCGGAUUUAUUGGGUUUAAAGGGAGCGUAGGUGGUUUGUUAAGUCAGUUGUGAAAGUUUGCGGCUCAACCGUAAAAUUGCAGUUGAAACUGGCAGUCUUGAGUACAGUAGAGGUGGGCGGAAUUCGUGGUGUAGCGGUGAAAUGCUUAGAUAUCACGAAGAACUCCGAUUGCGAAGGCAGCUCACUGGACUGCAACUGACACUGAGGCUCGAAAGUGUGGGUAUCAAACAGGAGUAGAUACCCCUGUAGUC
rnacentral:rRNA from 1 species